AACGUGCCCUUAACCUGCUAACUGGCUUGUCUUGCUUUGGUGGUACGCUGGCUUCUUAGAGGGACUAUCGGCUCAAGCCGAUGGAAGUUUGAGGCAAUAACAGGUCUGUGAUGUUCUUCGCUGUUCUGGGCCGCACGCGCGCUACACUGCCGGCGCCGGCGCGUCAUCCCUUGGC
rnacentral:rRNA from 1 species